CCGUGAUUGGCCGCUGGCUGAGGGCAGCGGGACGGCCUGGAGGCGUCCCGGGCGGGGAGCAGCCGGCGGAGCCUUCCGCACGCGGCCCCGGCAAGAUGCUGCUGUCCCUGGUGCUCCACAUGUACUCGAUGCGCUGCGUGCUGCCGGCCGCCGUGCUCCUGGGCACUGCCCCCACCUACGUGCUGGCCUGGGGGGCCUGGCGGCUGCUCUCCGCCUUCCUGCCCUCCCGCCUCUACCAGGCGGUGGACGACCGGCUCUACUGCAUCUAUCAGAGCAUGGUGCUCUUCUUCUUCGAGAACUACACCGGCGUGCAGAUAUUGCUAUAUGGAGAUUUGCCAAAAAAUAAAGAAAAUAUAAUAUAUUUAGCAAAUCAUCAAAGCACAGUUGACUGGAUUAUUGCUGAUAUUUUGGCCAUCAGGCAGAAUGCUCUUGGACAUGUACGCUACGUGCUGAAAGAUGGGUUAAAGUGGCUUCCGCUGUAUGGGUGUUAUUUUUCUCAGCAUGGAGGGAUCUAUGUAAAGCGAAGUGCCAAAUUUAAUGAAAAGGACAUGAGAAACAAGCUGCAGAGCUACAUGAACGCAGGAACUCCAAUGUAUCUUGUGAUUUUUCCAGAGGGAACAAGGUAUAAUCCAGAACUAACGAAAGUCAUUUCAGCUAGUCAAACAUUUGCUGCUCAAGAAGGCUUUGCAGUAUUGAAACAUGUGCUGACACCAAGAAUAAAGGCAACUCACGUUGCUUUUGAUUCUAUGAAGAAUUAUUUAGAUGCAAUUUAUGAUGUGACAGUGGCUUUUGAAGGGACUAUUGAUGAUAAAGGGCAGCGGAAAGAAGCACCGUCCAUGGCUGAGCAAUUGUCACGUUGGAAGCUGAAGAUUUUUUUCACUUUAAAUGGAAUUUUUUGGAAUAUAUUAUACAUCAAACAGUUUAAAAACCACAACUCUAUAAAGUGCACAGUGAAACAGCUUGUUUUCCACCACGUCCCCCUCCCCUCGGGGUCCAACUUCCCCUGCCCAGAGAAUUUCUCUGCAAAGAAUGUCCAAAAAUUCAUAUUCACAUUGAUCGUAUAGACAAAAAAGAUGUCCCAGAAGAACAGGCAUUUAUGAGAAGAUGGCUUCAUGAGCGUUUUGAAAUUAAAGAUAAGUUGCUUAUAGAGUUUUAUGAUUCACUGGAUCCAGAAAGAAGAAACAAAUUUCCUGGGGAAAGUGUUAAUUCUAAAUUAAGUCUCAAGAAGACUUUACCAUCAUUAUUGAUCUUAAGUGGUUUGACUGCUGGUAUGCUUAUGACCGAGGCUGGAAGGAAACUCUAUGUAAGAACGUGGAUUUAUGGAACCUUAAUUGGCUGCUUGUGGGUUAGUAUAAAAGCUUGAGCAGGUAGCUGUCUGCAGGCAGUGGGAUGUGCUCCGUGGUUCAGUGUUGGCAGCCACACCUUACGGCAAAUUGUUUCCUGAUUUUAAUAAGAAGUGUAAAUAAAGCCUUGUUGAUUGAACAUUGGAUAAAAUAGAAUUUCUGAUUAAAGCCGAUAUGCAGUUGGUCUUGGGCAAACAUACAUGGUUUUACAACUUUAGAACAGAAGCUGCUGGAAAGGGAAAAACUAAACAGUUUAUGCUAUACUUGGCAUUUCCUAUGAACUAAUGUCAUCUUCAGAAGACUCUUAGGAUUGUAUAAUUUGUUAUUGUUUUGUAAUUCAGAUGGCUGCGUUCAUGAACAUUAAUUUGCAGUAUAUUUCACUGUAUUUGUUAUUUUUAAUUUUUUACAACUUGACUAGUCCAACCUUUAUCACUAAGAUAUUUAGGAUCUUGGAGCUAUGUAAUAUUUUGCUUUUUGCUUAAUGUCUCCAAGGGAGUGAAAGAAAUUGUAUUUAAGUGUUUAAGAGGCAUACCAAGGAAAAGGGCAAGAAAUUGUCCCUGGGGAGGAAGCUCUGGUUAGCGCAUGCUUUUAUUGUAUUGCAUUAUUAGCUGAUUUUACUUUAUAUUUGCAAAGUAAUUAACAUUUCUAAUAUUUAUUGAAACAGCUUAAUUUGCACACCCUGUAUUGUGUACGAAAGAAUAAUGUAUAAAAUAUGAGAAUUAAGUUUAAGUUAGAAUUGUGACCCUGAUUCAUUAUAGCAGAACUUUACAUUGCCCGGCUUUUUGAAGAGUUAUGCUAAGCUCUUAGUACUUCCCAGCAUCUGUGCCGUAACUACUUGAAAACCUUCAGGUUUGCUAUUAUUUUUUAUAUCAAAAUAAUCAGUGUGAACCUUUAUUGGACCUGAGUCUACAGAUAAUUUGAGGUGAUGGGAGCCUUCAAACAUCUGACUAGAUUUGCUAGCAUGUGCCUUUGCCUGUUACUAUUGAGUUUAGCACAACAUUUAAUUCAGAAGUCAUUUUUUUUUUUUUUUUAAUGUCAUCACGGUUGAUUUCCACUGGGUUUGGAUUCUUUCCCUUUGGCUUACUGGCAGUGUGCUGCUUGGUGCCUGGUACCAUACGUGCACAGGGAGGAACUGUAGCCGGCCAGGGUUUGUCCUGCUGCAGAGUUGUUCGUUUAAGCUCUUGUGAGCCAGCCUCGCUAGCUGCGGCAAAGGCGUUUUGCACUUGUCUCAUGUCAAGAAGUUCACCUUCCACAAGCCAGGGAGAUUUAAUCCAUCAAGCCUGAAUGAAUUUGUUUAGUUCUCAUUGGUUUUAAUGGGGCUACACAAUUAAGCCAUAUCACCUCAAAACAAGAGCUGUGUUUCCGGAACCAAAUCACACAAUUCAGUUUUCAAUCAUGAAAUAAUAAAUCUAUCCUGUGCAAGAGGACGACCUUUUUGGAUCUGCUCUAUUUUUAUGUUACAACUUCAAUUUGAUUGCCUACCAGCCCUUUAAGAUAACAUUUCUGCUUAAUGGAUUUUUGUUGUAAAAUUGUAUCCAUGCCCCAGAUGAAACACACCAGCUGAAUCAUGACGAACAAAAUGAAAAUAAUAAAGAAGGGAAAUUUUGUCUAACCAAUUCUCCAGACCCAGAGAGCAGGCCACGUCAGACGGCACCUUUGCACAGCUGGGUAAUGGGAGUUGUCCACGUACGUUAGUGUGAGUAUGUGUGCACACGUCCCCACGGGACGUGGCUGGCCUAACUGCACGGCGGUGUAGGUCACACUUCUGAAAAGUGUUCUCAUGCCAAAUUGUCAUUUUCUCUUUCUAGUAAAGUGAAGGUUAAAUCAAUCCCAUGUCUUUGUUAAUACUUUUUUUAACAACCCUAAAGUUAGAAGCUUUUUCUAAUUAGAUCAAAGUAAAUGUAAGUUGUGCAACUUACCUUGAAUAUCAUGGAUAUGUUCUAAAUUUAAAUUUUAAGAAGUAGUACCAUUGGAAUUAAUGUUGAUUAUAACUGAUUUUAAGAAGUCUCAGUGAACGGCAUAAGAUCACUUUGAACAUCAUGUUUCUUAUGAACAUACUUAUAUUCUCACAGAAGUUCUAUAAAAUAUAUUUGUUAGUUUAAAAAUUUUGUAUCAAAAUAUUUGGAAAGUUAGCUUCUUUUUAACAUGUGUUGAUAUGAUUUGAAUUAUUAUUUUCUAAAAUUAAGAGCCCUGUAUCUACCUGUAAAUCUUUUCACAUAUCAUUUAAGCCUUUGUGUUAUUCUUAUUAUUCUUGAUUUGCAGCUUAGUUAUUACUUAGUUUUUCUUUAUAAGAAUGCCAUCAAUGUGCAUGCUUUUAUGUUUUCCAGAAAAGGGUGUGUUUGGAUGAAAGUAAAAGAAAAAAUAAAAUCUUUCACUGUC